GGCCGAGGUGCGUCCUCACGGUGAAAAUGUUAUCGUUCUUCCCGAAGUCCGACAUGCGGGCGACCUCAGCAGUGGCGAGGACAUACUUUGAACCAGCGACUAUCACCUCGGGCGAUUCAACACGGAUGUCGAGCACUAUGUACUCCACGAGCUGGCGGCUGGUGAGGUGGGCCGUGAAGCCGGUGCGCCAGUACUGGUUGG
rnacentral:misc_RNA from 1 species